rnacentral:lncRNA from 1 species
CUCACGCUCACGACCGCUGAUUUCCCCAUUCCACUUGAUUGUGAAUGUUACUGUCGUUAACUCAAGUGGAAUGGAUUAUGGAGCGUUUCGGGCGUUCAUGUAAAUAUUACAAAUGGCAAGUUUGAAAAUAGUAGAAGUUUAAGGAGGUUAGUUAUCAAACAACUUAAGUUUAAAUAUAAUCGAAAUGGCUUUGACGGCAGUUGGAUAUUUGCUGAUGCAUCGCAAUAAAGCUCCAGAAACUAGUUCAUCUAGCUCAGAUGAAGAAUGGGAUGCAAUUAUAAAAAAUUAUAAUCGUGAAAACCGACAACUUAGGCCACGUAUUAUUGACUAUGAAAAUGUAAUUUUUCGCUAUUCGGAUAAAGAAUUUAAAAGUAAUUUCAGAAUUUCAAGGAACACAUUCAAUUAUUUACAUGAUAUAAUAGAAGAAAAUUUAGUUCGACAUGUCCCUGGGUGCCCUACAAUUCCAUCUCAUCAUCAAUUGAUGAUAGCCCUUUGGAAAAUGGCAACAAUGGAUUCAUAUAGAUCAGUUUGUGACAGAUUCAACGUAGGAUGAGCCACUGCUGUGAGAGCUGUACGUCGAGUUUGCCACGCUUUAUUUAUAAAAUCCUCAAGAUUUAUACAAUGGCCUACGGGGGAUCGUGCUAUAGAAGUGAUGCAUGGAUUUGAAAGAGCGAGUGGCUUUCCAAAAGUAAUAGGGGCGAUUGAUGGUACUCAUAUUCGUAUUAAUGGUCCAAAACAAAAUCAUGCAGAUUAUAUUAAUCGGAAAGGAUUUCAUUCUAUUCAGUUACAGAUCGUAUGUGAUCACAAGACUCUGAUAACUCAUUGUUAUGCUCGACAUCCUGGGCCUGUUCAUGAUCAAAGAGUUUUCCGUUUAUCAGAAGUUGCAGAUUACGUAAAUGAUGAUGAUAAAUUCUUAGAAAAUUGCCAUAUUCUAGGCGAUGCUGCGUAUAAAUUCCUCAACACUUACUUACUCCGUAUCGAGAUAAUGGACAUUUAACUGAAAAACAAAGAAACUAUAAUUAUCGUCAUUCAGCUGCACGAGUGACUGUUGAACGAUGUAUUGGAUUAUUAAAAGGACGCAUGAGGAGCUUAUUACAUUGUCUACCAAUGACAAGAGUCGAUUUAAUGGCAGAGAACAUCAUUGCAUGCUGUGUCGUCCACAAUAUCUGCAUUUUACAAGGAGAUGAGUUAAAUGUAAUCACUAUCCCUGAACAUAAUCAAGAAAACGUAGAAAAUAAUGGAAACUAUUCACGUGAAGUCAGGAGAACUGCAGGAGUUAUUAAAAGAGAUGCUAUUAUGAAUUCCUUGUAAAACUGGUAGAAAACUCAUCAUAAAUCCUGUUAGGAGUAAUCACAAUAGUUUUAUAGGACCGAAAAUUAUCAAAGUCGUAUGAUCAUUGGAUUUUUGAACAUUUGAGUGAAAAUAAUAAUUUGAUGUAAAUUGUAUGAACUACAAUUUUUCGAAAAAUUUUUUAAUAUUUUAUGUAGGAUCAAAUGGUUAUGAAAUUGUAUAUAUUUUUGAAUUAUGUAAUAGUAAUUGUGAGAACUCCUAAACUUUUUUGUUUAUAAAUUUAUUAAAUAUUGAUUUAUAUUAUAAAAUGUAUUUUAAAA